GGCGACCGGCGGCACGGGUGAGUAACACGUAUAGCGAACCUGCCUGUAAGCGGGGAAGUAACCCGUUGAAAGACGGACUAAUACCGCAUAAUACUAAAUUACUGCAUGGUAAUUUAUUUAAACAUUUAUGGCUUACAGAUGGGCAUGCGCAUGAUUAGCUAGUUGGAGAGGUAACGGCUCCCCAAGGCAACGAUCAUUAGAGGUUCUGAGAGGAAGGUCCCCCCACACUGGUACUGAGACACGGACCAGACUCCUACGGGAGGCAGCAGUGAGGAAUAUUGGUCAAUGGACGAGAGUCUGAACCAGCCAAGUCGCGUGCAGGAAGAAUGUUCCCUAUGGAUUGUAAACUGCUUUUGCAGGGGAAUAAAGUGCAUCACGUGUGAUGUUUUGUAUGUACUCUGCGAAUAAGGAUCGGCUAACUCCGUGCCAGCCGCGGC
rnacentral:rRNA from 1 species